ACCUUUUAACCUGACGAUCCUCACCUAGUUAUAUGGUUUCACUGUAUUUCUUAAACUUUUGUUGCAUUCUAUACUACUUUAAUAAUUCACAAAAUCCAUUUCCUUCUCUGAAAUUUAGAUAAAAAAAUAACUUUGCACAUUGAAAUUAGGAAGUUUGCUAGGUGUAGUAGUUUCCAAGUCAUAAUGCUAUUUUCCCUGAAUAUAGGCUAACUGGUUUCUGUUGACUUUCCUAUUGUGUAAUUUAGAAACUUCUUAUUUCACGUUAUAAAAUGUGGAUACUGGUUCUAUAUUCUUUAGUACUGUAUUGCAGCUAGGGCUGCACAAAAUUAAUAAAACCAAUCAAACCAUAACAAUUCAAUCCAACAUAAACCAAAAACCAUGGUUAGUGUUAGCUCAAGGCUUACAAGGCUCUAACCCUAAUGCCUCUAUAGGAGAAAAGUAGGCGACUUUUAGUAGGAGCUCCCAUUAGGCCCAUGCCUUGUUCCAAGUGCAAGGCCUUAGAAAGACACACCUUAAUUUUUUUCACCUCUGUCAAGCACUUCCAUUGACAAAGACACUACCACUAGACUCAAAAUUUGUUGAUCUGCAAGAAUCUGGUGUUGAUGCAUCAGGAAAUCGUCAGAAUUAGGGUUGCUGGUGAUA
rnacentral:misc_RNA from 1 species